UCGGGAAUAUUGCGCAAUGGAGGAAACUCUGACGCAGUGACGCCGCGUGCAGGAAGAAGGUUUUCGGAUUGUAAACUGCUUUAGACAGGGAAGAAAAAAGACAGUACCUGUAGAAUAAGCUCCGGCUAACUACGUGCCAGCAGCCGCGGUAAUACGUAGGGAGCAAGCGUUAUCCGGAUUUAUUGGGUGUAAAGGGUGCGUAGACGGGAAGACAAGUUAGUUGUGAAAUCCCUCGGCUUAACUGAGGAACUGCAACUAAACUAUCAUUCUUGAGUGCUGGAGAGGAAAGUGGAAUUCCUAGUGUAGCGGUGAAAUGCGUAGAUAUUAGGAGGAACACCAGUGGCGAAGGCGACUUUCUGGACAGUAACUGACGUUGAGGCACGAAAGUGUGGGGAGCAAACAGGAUUAGAUACC
rnacentral:rRNA from 1 species